AGCCGCUCCUCAACCACCGCCUCUCUCCGGCCUCCGCCACAUCCCUCUCUCUCCAAAAUAAUCAAGCACUGUCGUCUCUCCAUUACACCUCUCUCCCAAAAAAAAAAAAUUCACCAGAUUUGUUGCCCAUACAGAAGUUGUAUCAGCUCCAGCUGAUCCACCUCUCUAGGUAAGGUUUUUAUUGGAAAAGUAGCACCAUUUUCGAAACCCUAGUUACUUCAAAUGAUUUUGAAUUUGAUGUUUUGUAUUGGUUUCUGGUUGGUUAGGUUGUGGUGAGGAUUAGACCGGCUAAUGGUCACGAAAGAGAAGGGGAUCGGUUGGUUACGAAGGUCUCCGAUAACCGUUGGAGAUAGAAAGUUUACCUGUGAUUCUGUAACAGUCAUGAUUUUUUUGUUUUUUUAUCAAUUUUUUGUCAUAUGUGCGUGAUUUGUGAUUUGGAAUUGGGAAAUUGUGUUGUUUUUUUCCUAAUUUUUUUGGUCAUAUAUAUGCAUGAUUUGUGAUUUGGAACAGGGAAAAAAAGGUUCUCCAUUAAUGUAGCCUCAUUCCCAAAUGGCGGUUUUAAAGCUAGGAGCCUUGUUGAAUAACCCAUUAACACUCAACCAAGCAAACCAAAUCCAUGCACUCAUUCUCACCAGCGGUCUUAACCAUCUCCAACCCUUACUCAUCCGUCAACUUCUCGUACCCCAACUCAGUUACUCUCAACCCACAACUCAAUAUCUCCGGUUGAUUCUCUCCCAUAUGCAAGACCCAGAUGUUUUUUCAUGGUCUUGUACCAUUAGGUUCCUUUCCCUGCACAAUCAGUUUAGAGAGGCUUUUAAUAUGUAUGUAGAGAUGCAAAGAUUGGGUUUGUGUCCAAACACUUUUUCCUUGUCUUCUUCAUUGAAGGCAUGUGGUAGGAUUGGGUAUAAGGUUGGCGGUGUUUCAAUUCAUGCUCAAGUUCAUAAACAUGGGUUUUGUAAGGUUGUUUAUGUGCAAACAGCUCUUGUUAAUUUCUACUCAAAGGUAGCGUGUGUGGAGAUUGCGCGGAAGGUGUUUGAUGAAAUGCUUGAGAAAAAUGUGGUUUCUUGGAAUUCAAUACUAUUUGGGUAUGUGAAGUCGGGGAAUUUGGCCGUGGCGCGUAGCAUGUUUGAUGAGAUGCCGGAGAAGGAUGUUAUUUCUUGGAAUUCGAUGGUUUCGGGAUAUGGGAGAGAAGGGGAUAUGGAGCAAGCAUGUGCUUUGUUUCGCCAGAUGCCAGAGAGAAAUGUAGCUUCUUGGAAUGCGAUGAUUAGUGGAUAUUUGGAUAGUGGGAAGAUAGAAUUGGCACGGAGUUUCUUUGAUGCAAUGCCUAGAAGAAAUAACGUUUCGUUGAUUACAAUGAUUAGUGGGUACUCGAAAUGUGGUGAUGUUGAAUCUGCUAAGGAUCUCUUUGCCCAGAUGGGUGAGAAAGAUCUACUGUUGUACAAUGCCAUGAUAGCUUGCUAUGCUCAAAAUAGCCGAUCAAAGGCGGCUCUUCAGCUAUUCAACAAGAUGAUUCAGCCCAAUGUAAAUAUUCAGCCAGAUAAAAUGACAUUUGCUAGUGUUCUAUCCGCUUGUUCUCAAUUGGGAGAUAUGACAUCCGGGUCUUGGAUCGAGUCGUAUAUGAAGCAACUCGGAAUUCAGAUUGAUGACCAUUUGGCUACUGCCUUGAUAGAUUUGUACGCUAAGUGCGGAAGCAUUGAUAAGGCAUACAAGUUGUUUCAACUCUUGCAAAAGAAGGAUUUGGUUUCCUAUUCUGCAAUGAUUCUGGGAUGUGGAUUAAACGGUAGGGCAAAGGAUGCCAUCACGUUAUUUGAACAAAUGAUGGAGGCCCGAAUUUCUCCAAAUUUAAUUACUGUCACUGGGAUAUUAUCCACCUAUAACCAUUUUGGUUUGGUUGAAGAAGGCUACAAAUGCUUUAACUUGAUGCAGAAGCAUUAUGAACUUGUGCUCUCGGCGGACCAUUAUGGAAUUAUGGUCGAUAUGUUAGGGCGCGCGGGGCGAUUGGAGGAAGCAUAUGAGUUGAUAAAAAGCAUGCCAAUGCAACCACAUGCUGGGGUUUGGGGAGCUUUGCUUCUUGCUUGCAGCUUGCAUAGUAAUCUUAAGAUAGGGGAGAUUGCAGCUAAGCACUGCUUUGAGUUAGAGCCUGAUGUAAGUGGUUAUCGGUCUCUGCUUUCUAGUAUAUACGCCUCAGUUGGGAGGUGGGAUGAUGCCAAGAGUUUGAGAGAGGGUUUGCAGGAAAAGAUUCCUGGUUGUAGUUGGAUGGAACAAAAUUGAGUCAAAUCAAAAGGUGGGCGUAAAUUACAAGUGUUCAUUGGUUGGAUGGGGACACUGUCGCACUGCUAUACCUGUAAAUCAUAUCUGAUUCAUUGGUUGGAUGAAAGCUCUUAUACUUUCAUAUAUCCCAUUGGAUUCUGAAUUUGUGGCAGGAUAUUCCGGGGGAGGAAAAUGUUGGGGAUUAUUUCCAGAGGGACGUGUGGAGGGGUUUUUGCUUCUUCGCUUCAUUAUCUUAGUUGCUAUUUUCCUUUACCUUUUCCUCUCUCUCUGUAGAUCCCUCCAUCAAAACACUGCCUCAAGAGUUUGUGAAAUCUUAAUGUUAGAUGUCCUUGCUAUAAGAUGGAGAUGGAAGAUCUGUUAUGUGGGAGGGAUGACAGUGUCUCAUUUUGUAUUGCAGUUUAUCAGAUGUUCUGUGUUUGUCAAUUGACCACCUGACAUUGGGUAAGCAUUUGCUUCCAUGAUCUAACGGUACUAAUAGGAAUUUUGCAUAUGUCAACAAUUCCAUUUAUCAAUGUUCUUUAGUUUGUGUUAUGUGAUUGUUUGGCAAGUUGGAUGUAACAGAAAAAGUAACGUGAAUACAAUAACAUACAUACGAGAUUCAUGUUCCCAUCAUACGAGAUGUAACAAGCUAAUUCCUCUUGAUGAGGAGUUUGCUUUGAUUCGCGAUAUCCGCGAGUUUAGCGUGAGCGAGGAUAUUUUUGCGAAUGCUUCGAUUGAGCUGUUGAGGCAGUGUGGGAUCGAUUUCAAGAAGAAUAAUGAGAUGGGUAUCGAUGCCAACCGGUUUGGCGAGCUUUUGAUAUCUUCGGGGAUUGUUUUGAAUGAUAAUGUGCAUUGGGUGACGUUUCACAGUGGCUAUGAUUUUGGGUAUUUGCUGAAGUUAUUGACUUGCAGGGAUUUACCCGAUACGCAAGCUGGGUUCUUUGACCUUAUGAAUAUGUACUUCCCGAUGAUGUACGAUAUCUAGCAAUUGAUGAAGUUUUGCAAUAGUCUUCAUGGUGGGUUGAACAAGCUUGCGGAGCUUUUGGAGGUUGAGAGGAUUGGCAUUUGCCAUCAAGCUGGUUUGGAUAGUUUACUCACUUCUUGUGCAUUUAAGAAGUUGAAAGACAACCAACUUCUUCAUUGGCUCCACGGAGAAAUAUGCAGGCGUUCUGUACGGCCUUGGUGUUGAGAAUGGUUCGGAAAAUAAAUGAUUGGCAAACCUUUGAAUGCUUGUUUGACCAGUUAGGCAUGAGUUUCCCAUUUCCAUCUGUAUACAAUUGGCAGAAAGUUGUUGCUUCUUAACUUUCCUUGAUUGCUUUGUACUUUUUUCUGAUUUUAUGUGUAACUCAACCCUGAGUGGGUGUUGUAGCUUGAGUGAUGUAAAUUAUCACAUUUCAAUAACAAUCUUAACGUUUAGCAA